AGUGGCGAACGGGUGCGUAACGCGUUGGUGACCUGCCCCAAAGUGUGGGAUAACAGUUCGAAAGGACUGCUAAUACCGCAUGUGAUCCUUUUAGAUAAAGCAGCGCUUUGGGAGGGACCUGCGUCCCAUCAGCUAGUUGGUGAGGUAAUGGCCCACCAAGGCUACGACGGGUAGGGGACCUGAGAGGGUGGUCCCCCACACUGGUACUGAAACACGGGCCAGACACCUACGGGUGGCAGCAGUAGGGAAUAUUGGGCAAUGGGCGAAAGCCUGACCCAGCAACGCCGCGUGCACGAUGAAGGUCUUCGGAUCGUAAAGUGCUUUUCUGAGAGAUGAGGGACAGUAUCUCAGGAAUAAGUCUCGGCUAACUGCGUGCCAGCAGCCGCGGUAACACGUAGGAGGCAAGCGUUAUCCGGAUUUACUGGGCGUAAAGCGCGUGCAGGUGGUUCGGUAAGUUGGAUGUGAAAGCUCCUGGCUCAACUGGGAGAGGUCGUUCAAAAC
rnacentral:rRNA from 1 species